rnacentral:rRNA from 1 species
AUUGAACGCUGGCGGCAGGCCUAACACAUGCAAGUCGAACGAGUGGCGGACGGGUGAGUAAUGUCUGGGAAACUGCCUGAUGGAGGGGGAUAACUACUGGAAACGGUAGCUAAUACCGCAUACCAUCGGAUGUGCCCAGAUGGGAUUAGCUAGUAGGUGGGGUAAAGGCUCACCUAGGCGACGAUCCCUAGCUGGUCUGAGAGGAUGACCACCCACACUGGACCUGAGACAGGGCCCAGACGCCAACGGGAGGCACCAGUGGGGAAGAUUGGACAGUGGGCGCAAGCCGAAGGCAGCCAUGCGGCUGUGAUGAAGAAGGCCUUCGGGUUGUAAAGUACUUGCAGCGGGGAGGCGUUACCCGCAGAAGAAGCACCGGCUAACUCCGUGCCAGCAGCCGCGGUAAUUC